GUAUUUCCUGCAAAAUGAAAACAUUUUUACUGAAUAACCCGUUUCAAAUGCAACACCGAGCUGACACGGUAAACCCCAGACGUCUGCGGACUGUGCGGGCGGGUCAGCGUCGCUCAAAGUCUAACAGGAAGUCAGAACCGAAGGAGCAUCAGACUUUGAAUGCCCAUAAGCAACUACUUUGGACAACUACAGGACACCUGGCCAUACAGAGCAUGGCACAUUCUGACUGCUAAUCUGGACCCCCACCCCCAGCUGACAACGUGCCACAACAUGAGAUGGAUGUGGAGAAGUGAAGAUGAUCAAAGAGAUGUCAGCCGAGAAGCAGUGAAAGAGGACUGAACUAAUCGCUUCAAGAUUGUCUUGGUCCUUCCCAAUGAAACACAGGACAACCAAGACCCUGUGUAUGGGUCAGUCAUCAACAACAAUAAUAUCCCACACCUGUUCACGUCGUCUGCGGCUGUGUGUGUUGGAGUGAGACCAUAGCUCAAAAAGAUAACAUAGGUGACAUGGAAAUGAACAGCAGGGGAGGCAAUGUAUGCGAGCGGCCACAGGAGAGGCCCGGCUCUCGGGUGAGAGUCCAAAUCCCAUCCGUCCGGCUAGACCAGCCACGGGGACCAGGGGAUUGUUAUUCUCCUGUCUGGCGGGGGCCGCCGUCAUGGCAACAUUUCUUUUUAUCAGAUGGUACCGGCAGGUGCCAUAAAAAAUGCACAUAGUUAUUUAUUUAUUUUUUCAAAUUUUAUUAAAAACUUUCAAAAAAUCUUGAUACUGGACUUUCCACAUUUCUCCGCUCUGAUUUACCUUUUGAUCGUUCCGGGAAGGGAAGAACACCGGCCGAGAGCCGAGAGAGAGCCGGCAGACGUUGGGAUCCGCCCACCGAGGCCGGAAGAUGAUCUGGCCUCUUCUGCGUGGGGCAACAUACGUAAUUUUAUGGCAUUUUCUGCGCCACUCUUAAGCAAUUUGUUUUUAUUUAUUUAUUUUAUUUUUGAUGUUUCCAUGUUUACAUUUUUUUAAUUUCUAACUUUUUGUCAGCAAUAAAAUUCGUUCUCUUAUUCAUUGAUACAUUCUUCAUAUCCGUUUUAUCUCUUUCGGGGUUACGGGCUGCCGGAGCCUAUCCAACCACUUGUGGGCAAAGGCUAAGGACACCCUGGACGCUAGUCUGUCACAGAGCCACAAUUACACAAUCACACACAUUAAAUAACUAUUUUGUAUUAACUGAUAACUUCAUUGGCUUCUUUUUUUAGAAUAACCUAUGAACGAUUUCAAAACCCCGGGAGCCACAUGGCCCGCAGAAGACGGAAGACUUGCUCUGGCCUCUCUUGUUUGGGACGGCCUACCUGAUUCGGUGGCAUUUCCUGCGCCCUUCCUAAUGGCCGUAUUUAUUUUUCAAAUUUAUUUAUUUAAUUUUUUGAUGUUUACAUUUUUUUAAUUUCUAAAUUAUUAUCAAUAAUUAAAUUUGUUCUCUUAUUCAUUGAUACAUUCUUCAUAUCCGUUUUGUCCCUUUCGGGGUUAAUUAUUUUAUUAAAUAUAA